AUACGGAGGAUCCGAGCGUUAUCCGGAUUUAUUGGGUUUAAAGGGAGCGUAGGUGGACAGUUAAGUCAGUUGUGAAAGUUUGCGGCUCAACCGUAAAAUUGCAGUUGAUACUGGCUGUCUUGAGUACAGUAGAGGUGGGCGGAAUUCGUGGUGUAGCGGUGAAAUGCUUAGAUAUCACGAAGAACUCCGAUUGCGAAGGCAGCUCACUAGACUGCAACUGACACUGAUGCUCGAAAGUGUGGGUAUCAAACAGGAUUAGAUACCCUGGUAGUCCACACAGUAAACGAUGAAUACUCGCUGUUUGCGAUAUACAGUAAGCGGCCAAGCGAAAGCAUUAAGUAUUCCACCUGGGGAGUACGCCGGCAACGGUGAAACUCAAAUGAAUUGGCGGGG
rnacentral:rRNA from 1 species